rnacentral:tRNA from 1 species
AGAUGGUGUCGCUGGGCUUCCCCGUGCCGCGCAGCUCCGCGAGCUGCGCGAUGACGGGGCCGGACUCGGCGAGGAAGGCGCGGAGGCCCUCCUCCGACUCCCA